rnacentral:tRNA from 1 species
UGGCUCAGUGGUAGAGCACUUGGCUUGCAUGCAUGAGGCCCUGGGUUCGAUUCCCCAG